GGUUUGGCUGGGCACAAAUUUUAUUCACCUCACUUUUCUUUUAUUUAUCCAUUCUCAUCUCUUCACGACCACAUACGAAACUCUUCUUCCCUAUUUUUGGAAAACACAUGAACAAAGCUUUAUUACUGGGGUUCGUCAAGUGCACAACUCCCAUCUUCAAAUCCAGCAAAAUCCUUCACCAAAUGAGUUGGGCAUGGACUGAGUAGGAGGUAAAAUGGACUAUCAUCAACACAAAAGAUUUCGAACUAAACAUCUUAUAGUCAUAUCUUCCAUUGUUCUAAAGUUGAAAUCAAGGUUGGGUAUCUCCUGAUUUUGAGCGAAUCCCAUUUUAUUAGAGCUGUUUGGAAGCUGGGUACCCUUGGACUUCUCACUGCGCAAGGUCCAACAAACUGCAAGUAUGAUACUGGUAUUCUUCAUUGAAUUGUAAGCCCAGAUCUUGAAGGUGAACAGUGCAUUCAUCUAUUACCAGAAGCCAUCAAUUAUGAAUCUAAUUAUGGUCUUCAUACUCUUGCCCUCUAUUAGAAUUCCCAGGCAUAUAAAGCAUAUGCCAAUAAACUAGUGCAUGACUGCAAUUAAGCACUUGAUGGCCGAUGUCGUUGAGCUACUCAUAAAAGCUUGUCCUCUGCAUUUAAUUGCUCUUCAUCGGCCGAUGUUUUUUUUUUGUUUUUUUUUUUGUCUAACCAUUAUCAAUUUCAUGUGUUGCAACUAGCUAGAGUUGCAUGGUAGAGCUCGAAUUAAACUCUGCAUUUAAUUGCUCUAGCUAUUCAGGACCACCAUGCAAUUAAAUGCAUUAAA